AUAGCGUAUAUUAAAGUUGUUGCAGUUAAAAAGCUCGUAGUUGAAUUUUGGACCUGGCUGGGUGGUCUUGCCGUAAGGUUAGCACUGCUCUGGUCGGGUCUUUCCUUCUGGGGAACCUGUGUGCUCUUAAUUGAGUGCGCAGGGGAUCCAGGACUUUUACUUUGAAAAAAUUAGAGUGUUUAAAGCAGGCUUACGCUUGAAUACAUUAGCAUGGAAUAAUAGAAUAGGACUUUGGUUCUAUUUUGUUGGUUUCUAGGACCGAAGUAAUGAUUAAUAGGGAUAGUUGGGGGCAUUAGUAUUUAAUUGUCAGAGGUGAAAUUCUUGGAUUUAUGAAAGACUAACUUCUG
rnacentral:rRNA from 1 species